rnacentral:rRNA from 1 species
UACGGGGGGAGCAAGCGUUGUUCGGAUUUACUGGGCGUAAAGGGCGCGUAGGCGGCGUGACAAGUCACUUGUGAAAUCUCCGGGCUUAACCCGGAGCGGCCAAGUGAUACUGUCGUGCUAGAGUGCGGAAGGGGCUACUGGAAUUCUCGGUGUAGCGGUGAAAUGCGUAGAUAUCGAGAGGAACACCUGCGGCGAAGGCGGGUAGCUGGGCCGACACUGACGCUGAUGCGCGAAAGCGUGGGGAGCAAACAGG